rnacentral:rRNA from 1 species
GACGAACGCUGGCGGCGUGCUUAACACAUGCAAGUCGAACGGAAAGGCCCUGCUUUUGUGGGGUGCUCGAGUGGCGAACGGGUGAGUAACACGUGAGUAACCUGCCCUUGACUUUGGGAUAACUUCAGGAAACUGGGGCUAAUACCGGAUAGGAGCUCCUGCUGCAUGGUGGGGGUUGGAAAGGUUCGGCGGUUGGGUAUGGACGCGCGGCUUAUCAGCUUGUUGGUGGGGUAGUGGCUUACCAAGGCUUUGACGGGUAGCCGGCCUGAGAGGGUGACCGGCCACGUUGGGACUGAGCUACGGCACAGACUCCUACGGGAGGCAGCAGUGGGGAAUAUUGCACAAUGGGCGGAAGCCUGAUGCAGCAACGCCGCGUGCGGGAUGACGGCCUUCGGGUUGUAAACCGAUUUCGCCUGUGACGAAGAGUGAGUGACGGUAAUGGGUAAAGAAGCACCGGCUAACUACGUG